rnacentral:misc_RNA from 3 species
AACGCACAUUGCGCCCCUUGGUAUUCCAUGGGGCAUGCCUGUUCGAGCGUCAUUUGUACCUUCAAGCUCUGCUUGGUGUUGGGUGUUUGUCUCGCCUCUGCGCGUAGACUCGCCUCAAAACAAUUGGCAGCCGGCGUAUUGAUUUCGGAGCGCAGUACAUCUCGCGCUUUGCACUCAUAACGACGACGUCCAAAAGUACAUUUUUACACUCUUGACCUCGGAUCAGGUAGGGAUACCCGCUGAACUUAA